UUGGAAGUAAAAAUCGUAACAAGGUUUCCGUAGGUGAACCUGCGGAAGGAUCAUUACAGAGUUCAUGCCCGAAAGGGUAGACCUCCCACCCUUGUGUAUUAUUACUUUGUUGCUUUGGCGAGCUGCCUUCGGGCCUUGUAUGCUCGCCAGAGAAUACCAAAACUCUUUUUAUUAAUGUCGUCUGAGUACUAUAUAAUAGUUAAAACUUUCAACAACGGAUCUCUUGGUUCUGGCAUCGAUGAAGAACGCAGCGAAAUGCGAUAAGUAAUGUGAAUUGCAGAAUUCAGUGAAUCAUCGAAUCUUUGAACGCACAUUGCGCCCCUUGGUAUUCCGGGGGGCAUGCCUGUUCGAGCGUCAUUUCAACCCUCAAGCUUAGCUUGGUAUUGAGUCUAUGUCAGUAAUGGCAGGCUCUAAAAUCAGUGGCGGCGCCGCUGGGUCCUGAACGUAGUAAUAUCUCUCGUUACAGGUUCUCGGUGUGCUUCUGCCAAAACCCAAAUUUUUCUAUGGUUGACCUCGGAUCAGGUAGGGAUACCCGCUGAACUUAAGCAUAUCAAUAGGCCGGAGGAA
rnacentral:rRNA from 1 species